GCGGGCAUAGUUCAGUGGUAGAAUACCAGCUUCCCAAGCUGGCUAUGCGGGUUCGAUUCCCGUUGCCCGCUCCA
rnacentral:tRNA from 2 species